UUUCCGCAGGUGAACCUGCGGAAGGAUCAUUAAAGAACGCCCCGUUUUUUGAAAUGGGUAAUUCUAAACCGUGUAUACAUACCUUUGUUGCUUUGGCAGGCCGCCCCUCAGGGCGUCGGCUCCGGCUGACUGCGCCUGCCAGAGGACCCAAACUCUUUUGUUUAGUGAUGUCUGAGUACUAUAUAAUAGUUAAAACUUUCAACAACGGAUCUCUUGGUUCUG
rnacentral:misc_RNA from 1 species